rnacentral:lncRNA from 1 species
CUCUCUCUCUCAGCCCUCACUAUUGGGAAGCAAGUUGCCAUCUUAUGAGCAGGGAGAGGCCCACAUCCCAAGGAGCUGAUGUUUCUGGCCAACAGCCAGUGAGGACCUGAGGCCUGCCAGGUCACAUGAGGGAGCCUGGAAGUGGGUCUUCUCAGUCCUGCCAACAGCUGUGAGUGAGCAUGGACGCAGAUCCUCUCCCAGUGGAGCAUUUGGAUGACCACGGCUCUGGCUAACACCUCACUUACAGCCUUGGGAGAGAUUCUGAGUCAGAGGCAUCCAGCUAAAUUGACCCACAGACACGGUAAAUCAGGGAUUUCUUCUUGGUUUGGAUCCACUGUUGAUUUUAGGUUACAAAAAGAUGGCAGAUUGCAUCUUGGGCACUCUCUUGUAUGACUUUUUGGAGAAGCCAGUUUUCAUGUUGUGAGAGGCCUGGCAGAGGGGCCCAAAUGAGUUCGCUGGGAAGCGGAUCACAGAAACCAUGAGGUCCCGGUUUAUGACUGCAAAACAAUGGUUUAAACAGUAUUCAUUCUGGAACAUCACUCAAUUUCACUAAUACUAGUAAGUAAAUAAAUAUGUAUGCGUGUGUCUAUAUAUAAAGUAAGUAUGAAAUAACUGUUUCAAAUAAAUAACUCCUUCCCAACAUUUUUUUUUUCAGGAUCCCAAACACUCUGAUAUCAGAAUGUUCUUCCCUAUUCGGGCUAGUUUAUAAAGUUCAUUUGAGAGUAUUCUGAAAUUAAAUAAAACAAACCUAAAACAGUAAGACUGCA